rnacentral:rRNA from 1 species
AUGUCGCUUCCUCAGCUCAAACCAUCCAGCCUCCAGAGCCACCACCGCACCAUCGCGAGUCGUCGCAUCCUCCCCUCCUCCUCCUCCUCCACGUGCAGCAGCAGCCGCCUCCCGUCGUCUUCGCUCUCCGCCGGCCGUCCGGGGCGACGCUGUGCUCGUGCGCUCGGCGGCGGUGGGCAGCUGAUCGUGCGGUGCGCGUCCGUUGGGUCGUCUGAGGUGGUUCCGGCUAGCAGUAGCAUCGGCGGAGGCGGUGCUUCUUCCGACAUGGCAGGGAAGGGCGGUGCUUCGGUGCGCGUCAAGGCGGUGGCGACGGUUAAGGUCACCGUCGGCGGGUUCCUCGAUGGGCUGAGGCCGUCGAGGACGAUGGACGAUGUGAAUGACCUCAUCGGCAGGUCCAUGGAGCUCGAGCUCGUCAGCGCGGAGCUGGACGCCAAGACGGGGAAGGAGAAGCAGACGAUCAAGAGCUAUGCCCACAAGGUGGCCGACAACGACCUCCACAUCGUCACCUACGAGGCCGACUUCAACGUGCCGGCGGGCUUCGGCCCCGUCGGCGCCGUGCUGGUCGCCAACGAGCACGGCACGGAGAUGUUCCUGGAGGACGUGAAGGUGGUCACGGCCGGCGGCAACUCCGACGUCAUCCGCUGCGACUCCUGGCUGCCGCCCAAGUCCGGCGACGCCAAGCGCGUCUUCUUCGCCAACAAGCCUUACCUGCCGAGCCAGACUCCUCCGGGUCUUCAGGGCUACCGGAAGAACGACCUUGCCAAGAAGCGCGGCGACGGCACCGGGCAGAGGAAGGCCACCGACCGGGUCUACGACUACGACGUGUACAACGACCUCGGGUCCGGCGAGGAGCUCGGUGCCGCCGGCGCCCGCCCCGUCCUCGGCGGCAACAAGCAGUUCCCCUACCCGCGGCGCUGCCGCACCGGCCGCCCCCGAUCCACCAAAGAUCCGCAGUCGGAGACGAGGAGUGGCGACGUGUACGUGCCGAGGGACGAGGCCUUCUCGGAGGAGAAGAACGUGCAGUUCUCGGUGAAGACGCUGCAGUCGGUGCUCCACGCCGCCGUGCCGGCCGUGCAGUCCACGCUCAUCGACCCCAACCAGGGCUUCCCCUCCUUCUUCGUCAUCGACAAGCUCUUCGAGGACGGCGUCGAGCUGCCGCGCGCCGAGGAGCUCGGCUUCCUCCGCGCCGCCGUGCCGCGCCUCCUCGAGUUCCUCCGCGACGGCCCCGGCGACAAAGUCCUCCUCUUCGACGCCCCCGCAAAUGUCCAAAAGGACAAGUUUGCGUGGUUGCGGGACGAGGAGUUCGCCAGGGAGACGCUCGCCGGGAUCAACCCGUACGCCAUCGAGCUUGUCAAGGAGUUUCCUCUCAAGAGCAAGCUGGACCCGGCGGUGUACGGCCCGGCCGAGUCGGCGAUCACCGCCGAGCUGCUGGAGGCGCAGAUGGGGCACACCAUGACGGUGGCCGAGGCGGUGAAGAGCAAGAGGCUCUUCAUGCUCGACUUCCACGACCUGUUCCUGCCCUACGUGCACAAGAUCCGCGCCCUGCAGCGCACCACCAUGUACGGCUCCCGCACCAUCAUGUUCCUCACCGACGACGGCACGCUGCGCCUCCUCGCCAUCGAGCUCACCCGGCCGGCCUCGGCGACGAUGCCGCAGUGGAGGCAGGUGUUCACCUCGUCCACUGACACCACCAAGUCCUGGCUGUGGCGGAUGGCCAAGUCCCACGUCCGCGCCCACGACGCCGGCCACCACGAGCUCGUCACCCACUGGCUGCGCACGCACUGCGCCGUCGAGCCCUACAUCCUCGCGGCCAACAGGCAGCUCAGCGAGAUGCACCCCAUCUACCAGCUGCUGCGCCCGCACUUCCGCUACACCAUGCGGAUCAACGCGCUCGCGCGCUCCGCCCUCAUCAACGGCGGCGGCAUCAUCGAGCUCACCUUCUCCCCGCAGAGGUACGCCAUGGAGCUCAGCUCCGUCGCGUACGACAAGCUCUGGCGCUUCGACAUGGAGGCCCUCCCCGCCGACCUCGUCCGCAGGGGCAUGGCGGAGGAGGACCCCACGGCGGAGCACGGCCUCAAGCUCGCCAUCAAAGACUACCCAUUCGCCAACGACGGGCUGCUCAUCUGGGACGCCAUCAAGGGGUGGGUUCAGGCGUACGUUUCCCGCUACUACCCGACCGCCGCCAGCGUCUCGGGCGACGCGGAGCUGCAGGCCUUCUGGACGGAGGUGCGCACAGAGGGACACGGAGACAAGAAGGACGCGCCGUGGUGGCCUAAGCUGGACACGCCGGAGAGCCUCGCGCACACGCUCACCACCAUCAUCUGGGUCGCGGCGGCGCACCACGCGGCCGUCAACUUCGGGCAGUACGACUUCGGCGGCUACUUCCCGAACCGCCCCUCCAUCGCGCGCACCAACAUGCCGGUGGAGGAGCCCGUGGACGCCGCCGCCUUCGAGAAAUUCCUGGACAACCCGGACCAGGCGCUCCGGGAAUGCUUCCCGUCGCAGGUGCAGGCAACGCUGGUGAUGGCGGUGCUGGACGUGCUGUCCAGCCACUCCCCCGACGAGGAGUACCUCGGAGGGAUGGAGACUGCCCCGUGGGGCGAGGACACCACGGUGCGGGCGGCGUACCUGAGGUUCAACGAGCAGCUUAAGGCGGUGGAGGGGAUCAUCGACGGAAGGAACAAGAACAGGAAGCUCAAGAACCGGUGCGGCGCCGGCAUCGUGCCGUACCAGCUCAUGAAACCAUUCUCGCAGCCCGGCGUCACGGGCAAAGGCAUCCCCAACAGCACCUCCAUCUGA